rnacentral:rRNA from 1 species
GAUGAACGCUGGCGGCAGGCCUAACACAUGCAAGUCGAGCGGUAGAGAGGUGCUUGCAUCUCUUGAGAGCGGCGGACGGGUGAGUAAUGCCUAGGAAUCUGCCUAGUGGUGGGGGAUAACGUUCGGAAACGGACGCUAAUACCGCAUACGUCCUACGGGAGAAAGCGGGGGAUCUUCGGACCUCGCGCCAUUAGAUGAGCCUAGGUCGGAUUAGCUAGUUGGUGAGGUAAUGGCUCACCAAGGCGACGAUCCGUAACUGGUCUGAGAGGAUGAUCAGUCACACUGGAACUGAGACACGGUCCAGACUCCUACGGGAGGCAGCAGUGGGGAAUUUUAGACAAUGGGGAAACCUGAUCUAGCCAUGCCGCGUGAUCGAUGAAGGCCUUAGGGUUGUAAAGAUCUUUCAGUGGGAAGAUAAUGACGGUACCCACAGAAGAAGCCCGGCUAACUCCGUGCCAGCAGCCGCGGUAAAGUGACUAC